GCCAACACUGGGGCGCUGAGGCCACACUGACAAUCACCCUGCCGAGGGAGGCAGGCCUGAGAAGCCGCGAGCUAGGACGCUUGCACCAUACACAGUGCACGGGGUCUACGGGACAGGGGCCGCGCACGUGGAGCAGCGGCAUGAAAGUACACAAAACACAAGCCAUGAACGUGCCUGAGGUCGUAGGGAAGAGGGGAGAAAGGCAGAGAAAGAACCAGGCUCAGGAGCAGAGGCUGGAGGUCAGAGGCGGGCUUGGCUCUAAGCACCCCGAAGGCAAGCAAAGCCAAGGUCAGAUCUGGCACAGCAUUCCCGAGCCCCAAAAAGUUCCUUAGCCAACCGUCCGGGAGAAAUGAGACUUUACUGACACAAGACGAAGGCAAAAUUUCUCACACAGAUCCUCUCACGUGUCAGGCUCCUAAGUGUAAGUGAACAGCAUCCCAAAAGGAGGCUCAGGGACAGACUCCGUGUGUCUGUCCCCUCUCCCUCACUGGGAGCCACCGGCAGGAUUCUGAAGCAUGACUCACAGCCAGAAGUUACACAAACUUCAUCCUGUUUAUUUUGGCUCAUGCUUCCCGCCUCCAGAGGUCUCUCUGACCCUGGUGUGCGUUCAAGGAUUUGCUAAGCCCGUGAGCACGCGCUGUCUGCAUGUGUGAUAGGCGCCCACUCCCUCCUUCAGCCAAGUUACUGAAGUUAGAAACGGGAAAAUCGCGGGUCAGCAAAGCAACACCGGUGCCGGGUGAGGAAAAGCCAAGGAGCCUGGGUCCAAGGCCUGGCCACCCAGCCACGGGCAUAGCCCCACAUGGGGACCCAGCAUCUCUGCCCGAGGGACAGCUAGGACUGGCACCCGCACCCGACAGGCAGGACCGGCUGCGGCCAGCUGCCACGCGGGGUCCCGGACACAAUGCCUCCACCUACACAGGGCUCGUGGACACAGGACAGGGCAGGCUGUGCUGACACAGGCGCAUCCUUCCGGAAUGCCAGCGUGGCUGGACGCGUUUGCCCACGACAGCCUGAGACACAGCUCUCAGCCGUGUCAGUGUUGACAACCACGUUGCUUUCAAGACAGGAGCCAUCACAGGAGACCUGUGAGCCGUGGCUGAUGGGCUCUGCUCCUCCACGGCCUGCAUGAGGUGGCCCACGGCCAGCCACGCCCAGAGGAGCGCGCUCACAGGCUCAGCCACCCUCGGGAGGGGCCAGCUCGCUGGCUCUGCCCUUUCUUCCCACCCUACCGUGGACUGACGGUUCCGUAAAACAGUAAAAGACGGUCUUGCACGUUGUUACUAUGACAUUGUGUUAACACUGCUGCUGACCUGCGACACGGUGGCCUGCAGGCUGGCAGCCGUCACAGGCGGCACCCAGGGCACCAUGUCCUCAGGUGACGCCCCAGGCCACUUCUCGGCCCAGGAGCCUGCAGGUACAACAUGAAAGGACCGUGCCCGCACCCCUGCCAGGUGGGCAGUCCCAGAGAGAUGGGGACAGGCAGACAGCGAGCUCCUUGCUCACAUGACCUGGCUCACCUCUCCCACGAGCCCACAGGAGAAAUGGGUGAUUUGACAAGGAGCCAACGCCAGGCGGCUCUGUGGCCCCAAGGGCUCUGUUUCCCACGGAGCCGCCUGUGAGCUCGGCGGCCACACAUCCAGGAUCACACAUUCCCCAGAGAAGGCCGUUCAGACGGCGGAGGCACGUGGGCGCUGGGGUGCAAUUUGUCAAACGUUCUGUUCUUUGCUGUCUCUGCCUCCUGAUAUGGCACCAAGCAGCCAGGACCGCCUCUCCUGGCUCACAGGUGCAGGGUGGGCAGGGGCUCUACCCAGCAGGCGGGACAGAGGGACAGACAACAGGCAGGACAGAGGGGCAGUCGGGACUCUACCCAGCAGGCGGGACAGAGAGGCAGACAGCAGGGAGGACAGAGGGGCAGCCACAGGAAGAACUCGUAAGGGCCCUGCCCGGGGUGGGCGGCCUCCAAACUGAGGAACCUUCCUUUUUGCAGGGCUGGGUCCCACUACGGGGAGGUGGAGAACCGGGGUCUCGCAAGGCCGCAUCCCCUUCCUCGGGGGCCUCGACGUGUCAGCGUCCCGCGGAGCCCAGUGUCGAGGAGGGGCGGCCGGGGCAGGGCCAGAAGGCUGCCCCAACCCCUCAGGACCUCCCGGAGGCAGGAUGCCCACCCAGGCCAACUCUUGGGUGACCUUCCGGCCCAUUCCUUAAAAGUCUGGUUGGCAAAAAUACGUAAUAACGUAUAUGAUAACAGAGAGGAAAGCAAAAUAUGUUUUUCUCCAACGUACAAUUCAAAACAAAACCUGAGAGUAGUUCAAAGCACAAAACAGAAAACUUUAAAUGAAAACCGAUAUUCUGAAAAAAAAAUCAGGGUACUGACCCAUUCCAAAGACAAACAUACAUACUUUCCAAGCUGGUUUUAGGUGUCAGGAGGUUAUUUUAUUAGUAACGUAUACAGGCAGCGAUGACGCUUAAAUAUUAGAUUUCUCUGGGAUUUAGUGACAUUAUUUCCUUUGCAGAGAAGGUGGCCCUAUGGCUUAGAUUUGUACCGUGAGAUAUUUAAAUAAUCAUGACGUUGCAAGCCUCAUUUGCCGGGUCUAAGUCUUUACAGGCAAAUCGCAGGGAAGGCAGGGAGACACCUUCUGUCCAGGAUCAGGUCAGAAUGUUCCAUGAACCCCACUAAACAGCACAACACGAGACCCGGAGGGAGGGACAGUGGGGGGAAGGAAGGGGUCCAGGGCCAGCCCCGCCUUCCCGUCCCAGGUCCUCAGGCACAAGCCAGGGUGGUGACCCCAGCUGCACCCAGAGCCGCUGCCCUCAGGAAAACAGGCAGACAGGUCGGAAGGAAGGAGUGUUGGCAGGAAAGAUUUUCUCUUUUCCUUUCAGGUGCACAGACGCCUGCGGGAAGGGGCGCAGGACAGAGCCAUGUUCUGGGCACCGACGGCCCAUGCUGCCGCUUCCGGUCUCCCGGUCAUGUCCUCAGACUGAGACCCCGCAUUCGUGUUCGGCUCAGGAAGGCAGGCGUUGGCUCAGCCUGCCCAGGGGAAAGUGGGCACCCGUGUGCUGACGUGUGUGGGUGGCCAGCGAGAGCAAAGGAUCCAUCACCCUGAAACUGUCAUCCAUUCUCGACAAGCCCUGGGGAUUCUGGACUGGGCUUUGCCAAUAGCCCGCAGACGGCGUCCCCAACUUCCCGGCCCCAGCCGUCCGCGGCAAGGAUGCCGAGAACCUUCGCACACAUGCUUGACAGCCUCGUGCUGCCCCAGCUCAUCAGGAUGAUGCCAACUCGAUCUCGGGCCCUGAGAAGUGGGAGCCACGCGGCUUCUACUGAAAACUCCCAUGCGUGGCCUUCCUGCUGUGAAAACAGGACGCAGUGGUGCGGAUAAGCGAGGCUCCUCCAAGGGGAAGAGCGCCUGAGUACAUGGCGGGGCAUCCUCUGCGACGUCACAGACCCCAGGGAGCCAAGCAGGCUGAGGGGGAAAACAGGAGCAGACGACACACCCGACAGGGCGCUGGGACACCUCUGACCUGGGUGUCCCCACAGCAGCCUUCGGUGGUGCUCACAGGGCCCAUCCCCUGCCUCUCGGGGCUCAUCCAUGGGAAACAAAAGUAACCAGUGCAUGCGUGCGCACACUAUACAUAUGUGCACGCAUAUACACACUCAUGUGUGCAUAAUAUACACACGUGCACAUGCAUACACCUGUAUACACAUGUGCACAUAUAAACACGC